rnacentral:rRNA from 1 species
GCGUGAGGGAUGAAGGUGCUCUGCAUUGUAAACCUCUGUAGUUGGGGAAAAACGACGGGUUACUACCCGUUUGAUGGUACCCAAAAAGUAGGAUCGGCUAACUACGUGCCAGCAGCCGCGGUAAUACGUAGGAUCCAAGCGUUGUCCGGAUUUACUGGGUGUAAAGGGUGCGCAGGCGGACUUAUAAGUCAGUGGUGAAAUCUCACAGCUUAACUGUGAAACUGCCUUUGAUACUGUAAGUCUUGGAUCCGGGAGAGAAUUGUGGAAUUCCGAGUGUAGCAGUGAAAUGUGUAGAUAUUCGGAAGAACACCAGUGGCGAAGGCAGCAAUUUGGCCCGGUAUCGACGCUCAGGCACGAAAGCAUGGGGAUCAAACAGGAUUAGAUACCCUGGUAGUCCAUGCCCUAAACGAUGAUCACUUGAUGUCAGCCCUCAGGGUUGGUGUCGAAGCUAACGCGAUAAGUGAUCCACCUGGGGAGUACGCUCGCAAGGGUG